AGCGAACGCUGGCGGCAGGCCUAACACAUGCAAGUCGAGCGCCGUAGCAAUACGGAGCGGCAGACGGGAGAGUAACACGUGGGAACGUGCCCUUCAGUUCGGAACAACCCAGGGAAACUUGGGCUAAUACCGGAUACGUCCGUAAGGAGAAAGAUUUAUCGCUGAAGGAUCGGCCCGCGUCUGAUUAGCUAGUUGGUGGGGUAACGGCCCACCAAGGCGAUGAUCAGUAGCUGGGCUGAGAGGACGAUCAGCCUCACUGGGACUGAGACACGGCCCAGACUCCUACGGGAGGCAGCAGUGGGGAAUAUUGGACAAUGGGCGCAAGCCUGAUCCAGCCAUGCCGCGUGGGUGAUGAAGGCCCUAGGGUUGUAAAGCCCUUUCGGCGGGGAAGACAAUGACGGUACCCGCAGAAGAAGCCCCGGCUAACUUCGUGCCAGCCGCCGCAGUAAAAC
rnacentral:rRNA from 1 species